ACUGGCCCUAGAGGCAUUGCAGGCAUGGCUGUGGUGUCACACAUGUGCCACUAGGUAGCAAAGAAGAGAGUCUAUGCUCAAUGUUCUGACCUAUGAAUAUCUGAAUAAUAAAAGCCUAACAUU
ensembl:snoRNA Gm25096 predicted gene, 25096